rnacentral:siRNA from 1 species
UGGCCCAGAACUUUCUGGUA